rnacentral:lncRNA from 1 species
GACCCCUAGCCUGGGAACUUCCACAUGCUGUGGGGGAGGGGGGGUGGGAGUGGGCAGCAAAACAAACAGACAAAAAACCAAAAACGCCUUGAGUAAGAUUACCCACCUAGCAGGUUAAAAUUGGCCUAGAGCUUUACCAUUAGUCUCGUUAGAAAUUAGAAUGGCCCUGCAAGCAGGCAUGCGAUGUCUUCUGUGAAUUUGGGUAUGAGGCUGUGCCCUGUGUCAGGUUUGAUAGAAUCCUCUCAUAAUUAUGUUCCAUACUUAAAACUGUGCUCAAGACUUCUCUUUACCCAGAAACCCCAAGACUUAAAGUCUCAAAGAUCUGGAGGCACCCGCCAGGGGAAGAUGGCCACCCUGUCCACUGGGAGAUGUUGGCUGCAUAAAGGCAUUCCAGAAGGAAGAGGGCCAGAAGGGUUGGAAGGGACUCCUUUGUCGCUGCAAAUGGCAUUAUUUCAUUCUUUUUUAUGGGUAAGAGCUAGCUGCCAACGGAAGAGAGGCAAGAUGAAAACCUGCCUGCCAGGAGGGUCUCUUUCCUCCACACCCUGAGACCCCUCCUCAUUGCCCCAGAGAGCUAUGAAGUAGUUGUCACCUGGCCAGGGCGGUUCCUGGGUGGAGCCAAGCAGGGUGAGGUAAGAAGCACACCCCCCUCUCCCCUCCUCCCCCCCUCAGCCCUCCAUUUACCAAGAGGUCUCAGGAUUCCCAUGACAGACGGGAGAAAGGAGGUUGGGUCGGCAUCCUCAGGACCACCUGGCACAUUCUCUCAAGCAGUCAGUCCUUCUACCUUUUGGCUGGAGCUUCUCUUGCUCACCAGAUUUUUUUUUUAAGUGGGUAGAGAGAGGAUUUCUGGGUUUGAGUUUGACUGAGGGUUGACUGACCUGAUUAACUUCUCUGUCCAUUUUCGGACCCCCAGCCAAACUGAUUUGAUUGCUCUUGGGCCAGUUGCCUGCCCCUGUCUCAGUCACCUGUAGCGGGGGGCAGGGUGAGGAUAGGGAUGGGCAGUCGCGGGCAUGUGGCUGCCCAGCAGCCUGUUCCACAGCGACUGCCUUGCUUUUCUUUCCUUCUUCCCACAGAAAUGGCAGAGGAAGGACUCCAGCUCAGAUCUGCCCACUCCCUCCGGGCCCCGGGGCCACUCACGUCCUCCCACCCCUACUCUGCCGCCCUCCUUCCCCCGCUUCCUGCCCUAGAGAGAAGAGAGAGUGGCUCUGCGCACCUGUCCAAGAGUUCCCCGGGUGGGCCUGUUGUAGGGACUUCAAAGCAGAGAAAGAGGCACUGAAAAACAAAACAAAACACAGAGCACUCCUGGCGCAGAUGAUUAAUAUUCAUUUAGGUCUGCCUAAAUUUGUAAUUUGCAGGGCUUCUGGGAACAGUAUCGUUUACAAAACUGGAUGAAACCCAUCAUUAUGUCCCAGAAAGCAUGACUGCCUUGGAGAGCACGCAGUGUUUCUGACUCUGGUUAGGAUCGGAGAAGCCAGGCCUGCACCUCUCUCUGCAUCCCCUCAGGAGACCCCCAGCCCUCUCAUUAGAGCCCCGAGCAGGCUUCUGAGGGGUCACCUGGAGCCCCUCUGCUUGUCAUCUAAGCAUCUACUUCUAAGCGCCCCCUUUUGCUACGCCUCUCCCCAUGACAUGCUCACAGCCUCACAUUGAAGGGCACAAGGUUCGGCCUCCCUGGACAAAGCCUUUGAUGCACAACGUGACCUCCAUGCCCUGGAGCUGCUCUUUUCCCUCUGGCCUGGAAAAUGCUUCAGAGCAAGCACAGUGAAAGUGACCUGAUCAGAAGGCAGAAGACCAGGCCAAAUAGGCUCUAGCUUCUUCCUGGGUGUAUGUCUGAAGUAUUUAAUAACUUUAAAAAUGUCAUUCCUAACUGAGGUCCUAAAACUGUUUUUUAGUGGCUGAUCAUUUGUGACAUAACUGGCAACCUUGACACCUCACUACGUGGUGAAGAAAGAUGCCGUAAAGGAUUUCUGUGCCCCGAGGACACACAGGAUAGAACAGGGCUGCAUUAAGACAUUGGAGCCCUAACACUCACACACUAGGUACUGGCAACAAAAAGAGAAUAAAUACAGUGCCUGCCCUUGGGGAACUCCCCACUAAAAUACCUCCCACUCCCAUCUCCCACCAUUGAUUAUUUAAGUUAAGCAGUGCUACAUGCCAUAAAAACAAUGAACAAAAACAUACUUCUUAAAAAAACAAACACUGCUUAUUGGUCAUCAAAGGAUGACAUGACUGAGCUCAUCAAUGAGCACAAUUUGAGGCGGGACCAGAUUCAACGUCCUUAUCUAACGUCCUUAUCCACCCACCUACUUUCCUACUAUUUGUGACUUCCUAUCUUUGUAUCUUGGAGGCUUUUGGAUCAUUUAACUCUCCUCCUAAAGAGGCAGCCCCUGAAGCUCUUGUCAACCUACACCUUAGACACCAGUAACCUCAGCUGAGUUAGGCAGAAAUAAAUAUAGUCACAGGAGAGGAUGGCAGAUAAUGUGGGUUGCCUGACCCACACUCCAUUCCCAACCUAUCUCCUACUAGUGCCUUUUCCCAUGAGACGCAAUGCUAGAUGAUAACACAUAGAUGGAACUCUGCUGUGAAGUUCUUGAUCCUUUCUCCAUUCUUCCUGUUGUGAAUAAGAAUUUGAUGGUUGGUGCUUCAGCAGCCAUCUUGCAAUCAUGAGGUAAUGAUCAAAAGAACCUUCAAGACAUUAGCCCUGAUGGCGUGGAGCUACCUAAUUAUCACUAGCAGCCAUUAGCCACCUCCAGACUUCUUAAGUGAGAAGAAUAAAUCCCUAUUGCAGCCUCUAUCACAGGUUUACCCUUAUUUUCAGUUAAAUCUCUGUUGACAAGUAUACAUAGAUAUCUGGAAAGUAGGAGGGGAGCACUGCCAUAGCUAUGCUUGCCAAGGGACCGAAAAUAGAUAUUUCUGGAGUAGUUUCUAGACUCAGACCUGCUGGAUAAAGGGCAGGGUCCUGAGUGACUCAGAUCCCUACUUUUAGACAUGGUUUUCAGGACAGCUUGGAGUCCUGGGUUCCUGGAACAUAUCUGGUGCUCAAAGAAAUACUAUUAUGAACCAAUACUGGGACUCUCAGAGUCCGGCAUCUGAGAAGUGCCCUAUCUAACAACCAGUGUGUCACUUAAAUUUUUUCUUGAAUAUCUUGAAGUGGGCUCGUUAGGCCAGAGAAAAAAUUCUUAAAAACCUUCAUUUUUUCUCAUAACUACUUCCCUCGCACACUGUGGUUCAUUUUCUCAUGCCCAAAUCCCUCAAGAGUCUGGGGGAAGGUGAGCAGAGAGUUCUAUUUUGACCCUGUCCCCUUUGGUCCCUCUUUGUGGGCAGGCUGCCAGGCAGGGCCAGGCUUUCCCUGCAGUCAGGAGAAGACUGUGCCACUAGGAAAGCCAGAGUCCUCUCUCUCUCGGUAGUGGAGGAGAUGGACAGCCUGGAGCACACCUCCGCUAGUGAUGGACCAGGAAGGGCAGGAGGGGAGGAGGGAAUGGACUCUGCUCUUCCCCUGACACGUCCCAAGCCCUGGACAGGUCACUCCCCACUGUGAGCCUCCGCCUCCUUAUCCUUCAAACUCGGCAUUCAGCCUGGAUCAUAAUAAGGGCCCUUUCCGAUUUUUCAGCGUCUAGAUUUCUCUCAUGGGUGUGUUCCUCCUACCCAAUUUCUCUUGCUCUUAAGCUUCUCCAAGGAAUUCCCAAGUCAUACAAGGAAUGUAUCUCUGAGAAGCACAGGGAGUUACUCCUGGAAAUGAAGUGUUGAGAAGAAGGCAGAGCUGGGAUCCAACCUGGGUUGUUUGGUGCCAGUGUCUGGGCUGCUCCACGGAGUCCUGCCAGGUUGGUUGGCAUCUGAGGGAGGGAGGGGGAGUGGGGGGCAGCACCUGAAGUCACUUGUUCAUCCUGUCCACAGCUCUGGGGACAGGCUGGGAAAAGUGAAAGAGACGGUAUGGUGCUGGCUUUGAUAUUGGACACUGUGGAGCCAAGUCCUGACCCCUCCACUACUGUGUGACUUUAGGGCAAUUUCCUUGAUGUCUCUGUGCCUCGGCCAUCAUCUAUAAAAUGGGGACAUGCCCAUCGGGUGGCAUUCUGGAGGACUAUGACCUAGGAAAUUGUGCAGAGCAGUGUCGGGUGCUCAGUAAGCCUCUCUCGAGCUACAAAUGGAUGGAGUAUCAGCAGAUUCCAUUCUCCGUGUUGCCCCUGCAGUCUAGGUCUCAGUUCCCAGCAGUGUCCAGCUAGAGGAGGAAAGAAAGAUGCUGCUCCUUCCGCAGCCUCUGUGGACUGCAGGGCUGAGGAGCUGUCUAGUCAAUAUGGAUGAGGUGGGCUGUGCAUCUGACUGGCCAGAGAUACAAAAUCUCUCUUGAAAAACCAAAGAGCCACAUCUUAAAGGCUUACCACACAAGCCCAAAUCCCCAGAAGAGAAAAUGCGGGGUAAAAAUAACAUUUUAGAAAAGGCAUAGGGUGGUCCACAGGGGGCCUCGUUUAUAUAACCAGUUUGUCUUGAUUAUGCUAUGUAAGCCAACUCUUGGAAAUCCCCAGAAGGCAAUUUAGGAGGAAAAUAAUAGGAGGAGGACCCCGGUGGGGGUAGGGGUGGGGGGCCGGGAAGACGUGGCUGCUCUCCCUGCACAGCUGAGGCCAGCCUGCCUGGGGCAGGGUCUCUGCGUUCAUUCAUUCCUUCCAUACUCGUGAGGUGCUUCCCAGGUGCCAGACAGGGGACAAGACAGACUAGAUCUGACCCUCAUCGAGGUCACCUUCUUCCGAGAAGAAACACUGAAUGACAGAGACUAAUACCUUGUGAACAAAUGCUGGGGGUGAUGUGGGGAAAUGGGAGGGCGAGCUCCAACACUUAAAAUGGCCAGGGGAGGCUUUUUUCUUUUCCUUCCUUUUUUCUUUUUUUCUUCCUUUUUUCUUCCUUCCUUCCUUCCUUUUCUUUCUUUUUUUUUUUUUUUUUUUCUUUUUUUUUUUUUUUUUUCUUUUUUUUUUUUUUUUUUUUUGUCUUUUUAGGGCCACACCCACAGCAUAUCGAGGUUCCCAGACUAGGGGUCGAAUUGGAGCUGUGGUUACCAGCCCACGCCACAGCCAAAGCAACACGGGUUCUGAGUGGCAUCUGUGACCUACACCACAGCUCACAGUAAUGCCGGAUCCUUAACCCACUGAGUGAGGCCAGGGAUGUAACUUGCAUCCUCAUGGAUACUAGUUGGUUUGGUUUCCGCUGCACCACAGCCAGAACUCCCUAGGCCUGACUUUUCUGAGGGUGAUGCCUGGAGGAACCAGAGCUGAAAGAGAAGGAGGGCUUCUCAUGCAGAGGGAGUGGCAGGUGCCACGGCCCACAGGCAGGAAUGAGCCAGUGGCAUAGAUGUCCAUCAAGUAGAUGGGAAGAUAGAGCAGGGCAGGAGGAAUGGAAAGAGGGCCCUGGGUGGGCCUGGGAGCAGGGGCAGUGCCCCAGAUGAGGGGGCUGUGGGCAGGCUUGGGUCCCAAGAGCCUUGGAGACCAUCUAAGAUGUGAGCUAAGGCUAUGGGAGGCCUGCAGGUGGGGUGGGAACGGACCCGGAGUCAGUUACGGUCAAGGUCAGCAAACAUUUUUGGGUACCAGCUGUGGGCCGUGUUCUGAGCUAGAUGCAGGGAUGUGAACCUCUUCAGUUCUCCCAUGCCCUAACCAGGGGCUGUCUCAAGCCCUCACCUCUGCCCUCAAGCUUUUGGCAGAGGUGGACCCACUGGGGUUUACCAUCUGCAUCACAAGGAAGACAGAAGUGGGAGGCUGAGAUCCCCAGCUGCGUGUGCUCGCAUCCUGCCCUCUGGGACAGUGAGGGUGGCCGGAUUCUGUGCCUCCUCCCUCCUGCAUCCUGCACCCCUGCCUCUGCACACCACCCGCUCCCUCUGUUUUUAAUUAUCCUCAAAAUCUCUCACCUAGAAAAGCAAAGAAACAACCACAUCACCCCACUUUUGCCUCUGCUCUAUUUCCUUUUCCCUCACAGACAUAGAGGGGAAGAUUGACAAGGUCCCCUGUCCACUGUGUCUCCAUUUCCUCCCACCCCCCCCAUCCCCACCCCCCACAGGCCUAGCCACACACACAGCUCCGACAGCCCACAGCGUGAUGUGGCGGGCUCACCUCCGCGGCCUCUGACCUUCUGGAAAGCUCUUCCUGGCCAUGGCCCAGCCAUCUGCCCCCGCCUGCUUCCCCUCUGUAUUCAGCACUCCUCCUACUAUGCAUCACUCCUUCAUUGUCUCGGCCACCCAGACCUGCCACCCCUCAAAGCCUCCUAGUCCCUAGCUGCAGUCCUGGCACAUAGUAAGUGCUCACAAAAUAUUCAGUCAAUGGAUGGAUGGAAGGCACGCUCUCUGCUUUAGGGGUUUGCCUUUUAUUGAAAGAGCCAAGGGGUACACACAUCAUCACAGAGCAUAAAGUGUCAGAAGUGAUGCAGCUCUUACACAGGCGUGCUGAGGGCAGGGGCACAGUCCUGGGGCAGAGCUCACUCUGCUCGGGCAGUGACGUGUCCAGGCGGCUGCGAACUGCCUCUGGUGGCAGUGCACCAAAACGCUCCCCAGAACAGGCAGGCCGGCAGCUGGCUAAUGCUCUUCAGUACCCUGAAUGUAAAUGGAGCUGUGUCUGUGUGAAUAAAUAUCCUACAGUCCCUUGUAACACUGGAGAGAGGAGGCGGCCUGAUGGCACAGCCCAUCUGGCAGCUCCAGCCCCACCAAAGACACUUGUGCUGUCUUCUUCUCAGCACAGGUCCAGGACCCAUUCUGGUAAAAAAUAAAGUCCAUGUCACAAGUUGCGGAGUUGCUUUCAUGCCCCAGGACCCCCUGGCUUUGCCUUUCUCAGCCACAGGAUCUUAAUUCUCUGGGCCUCGAGUCCUUCACCUGCGGAAGGAGGCAUAGUAACAGCAUUUCCCUCAUGCACUUGCUGUGAGCGCUGAACGAAUUAAUCCGUGUAGUAUAGGUCUGCACUUACAACGUGCCGGCCCUCGGAAAGACCUGGAAAGCGCCAAGUGUGAGCUGUGACUGUUUUCACUACCUCUGUGAUUUGGGGCGUUUGUGAUCCUCUCUGUACAUGUGUGAACACUCUUAAUAGGAUUUGAAAAAUGCAGGCGGCUGGUUUCCUGGGGGCCAUGGAUUAGAGACGGGUACCCCUGGGAGGUGGGGUUGCCAGAUGUAGCAGAUAAAAAUGCAGGGUGCGUAGUUAAAUUUUAAUUUCAGAUAAGUGGCAACUCAUUUUUUAGUACGCAUAUGUCUCACGCAGUAUUUGCGAUAUAUUUACACUAAAAAAAGCAACACCGCCAGCAGAGUUUUCUCAGGACAUUUACCCUCUGACCCAGUGGCCCGUGGUGGUGGGAGAGGCAGGAGCGAGGGUAUAAAGCCUAAGGGCCCAUCCCGGAGGAGACUCCUGUGGCCUGAGGCCUUGGCCGUGACUUUCCCUGUGUUCCUCCCAGUGUCCCCUUAGCUGACUGAUGGGCUGAUUGACAGGGUGGGCCUGAGGCUUUGGGUGUGACUUGAGGGGCCCUGGAAGGCUCUAUCCCUCAGCAUUUCUAGCUCACAUUUCCCUGGAAGCCUGCAGGCUUCACCACCAGAGAACUGGUGCCCCCAGCUGUCUGUCCCCGGCGGUGGUGGGGGGGGCCUUCAAGGUGGAACGGCCCUGAGAGUGGCCCUGUGUACACACCCACCAAGCCACCAUCAGCCCCAGAUGGGCAGGAUCUGAGAGCCUUGCAGGGUGUGGCUAGCCAGGAGCUCUCAGGGGCUCUGGAUCACAGGUUUGAAUCUGGAUUCUUCCGCAUCCUGGAGGGAAAACUCAGCUCCACUCAUUGAAGUGUGUUUAUUCUCCAUUUUCCCACCACCCAUUACAGCCUGGCAGCCUCAGAAAUGGCUCCCAGUGACUCUUCUGCACACCUUGGUGCAGGACUAAAUGUGAUGAGCUUGUGUCACCUGCCACUGAGGGCACUGGGAGAGGGGAGAGACAGGGCUUCCCCCAGAAUGGCCUGUGGCGGAGGGAGGAGCUGGCCACUAUUUGGUGAAAGCGAAUUGGCAAGAUAGCAAGAGCUUAGAGGAGCUUUCUGGCUUCUCCCGGAUGCUUUCUGCGCCCUAAGAGGAACAUGGGCCUGGAGGGGUCAUGAGGGCAGGAAUAUGGGUGUCUCAGUGGUAAAUAGUAUAAACAGAUCAACAACAAUGGUUAUUGAGCUCUCUGUGUCUGGUGGUGGUCUCCACACCUUACAGGUAUUAAUCCACUGUCUCCUCACAGCGGCUUCUUCUGUAUCCCCACAAGCAAGCCGAGGGCGGAGGGUUUCGCUUAGGAAGCACCAGAAGGUCUACUUUGAAGCCUCAGCUUCAAAGAUCCUGGGUGAGAGGAGCGGCUUUUAUAGUGACUGAGGGUAAAUUUAUUCAAGUCGGAGGAGAUGUAGACUUGAACUUCACGCUAUUUCAGGGAAAAAAAAAAAAAAAA